rnacentral:rRNA from 1 species
AUGUUGACAAAGGGGUUCACCAAAAAAAUUGAACUGAAUGUUACUAGUAGACGGUCCAAUUCUUCUAUGUUGGGGUGGCUGGGUUUUAUACUACUAUAUGCAUUUUUCUUCGUCAUAAUCUACUACUACACGCCAGGCACAGGCAGAGUUUCCACGGGUCCUCGCUCGCAGUGUUUGUUAACUGAGCUGACACCUCACCUAAUAACUGAACCAAAGCCCUUACUGUACACGUCGUGCAUUCCUGUUUUGAGUUUUAAAACUCUGACGGAAAACAUCGACGGAGAAUUGUUCAGAAACGCGUGGGCGUGGGUUUCCCCUGCCCUGGCAAAUUACACUAGCACACUCGGUAUUUUCCUUUUUUCACCUUAA